CACAUUCUAUUUUACCUCAUUCUUCUCUGCACUGGCUCUUCUGUAUGAUAAGCCCUGGUUUUGGGACCAUACCGUGUGCUGGUUGAAAUUUCCACAACAGCCUCUCCCACCUGCACUGGGCUGGUUCUACCUCCUGGAGCUCUCCUUCUACUGCUCACUCGUGGCCACCCUGCCCUUCGAUGUGAAGAGGAAGGACUUUAAGGAGCAGAUCAUCCACCACAUCACCACCA